rnacentral:lncRNA from 1 species
UAUAUAUAUAUAUAUACAUAUAUAUAGAGGUUUUUCUUUCCAUGGAUAAACCCUAUCUGCUUCCCCCUUUACACGUUACAUCACGACAUUUCUGUGAUUCACGAUCCCUAUUGAUCAUUUCUUUUUUUUUCUCUUUCCUUUUUACGAUCCCUUUUGAUCGAAAACCUACCCCACUUUUUCUUUUUCUCUUUCUCCCCAAAACAAAAGCUCUACUUUGUAAUUUGUCCCGUCUGUGUUCAGCCCUGUGUGGCUAAUAAAGAAACAUAUAUAUAUAUGUGUGUGUGUGCUGACCAACACUGUAUUUUUAUCUUCAUUAAUAAAGGGGCUGUUAGCCUCUGGCCAGCAGGCCUGAUGAGUCCCCUAUAUUGCUGAGAGUGAUAAUAGGCCUGAAACCAAUGGUACUUCCAGACCAGCCACAACCAUUAUAUAUAUAUAUGUUCCGGGUUCAAUCCCACUGCGUGGAAACUUGAUUUUUACAUGUUUCACAUCUCUCAAACUCCGAAACGCGUAUACAGUUAAUCAGAGCCGGGUGGAUUUGUUUUUUUUCUCUCUUUACCUGCGUCAGUUGUAGAGUAUUGCUGUCUGGGAGAUAUCUUAUGGUAGUGAAAAAAUAGUAGUUUAACUGCUAUUUCUAAAUUUCAGUAUGUGGUGAAGCAAAUUUUUGCUGAACCCUAAUUAUAAUUAUACUCAUAAUUAUAGAAUUUUUGUUUAAGUUUACCGAUAAUGGUUCUUUUAACAUACCAAACUACUUGGUAAAAUUAUCAAUUAUUAAUUAAUUUUACACUUUAUUAUUAUAGAUAGAUAGAGAGAUGCUGCGUUGAUUGCGAAAUCACAGUUGAUCUGGAGCUAAAUUCUGUUUUUAAAUGACUCGCUUCGAGAAUUGCAUUCAGUACGAUUUGUUUAUAUUUGGUAGUUAUGACUUUAAGAGUCCCUCCUAGCAUGCGGCAUUUAUGUGUAAUAGUGCCCUCUAUAUAAUAUAAAUAGAUAGAGAGAUAGAUAGAUAGAUACACACACACACAUGCACGAGAAUAUACACUCAUUACACAAUCGAUUAAGUUACAAGCCAUUGUUUUGUACAGCCGGCAGCAACCACCAAAACUAUUCCACUGUCCCCCUCUCCUGGUUUUGUUCAUGGCUAUUCAGUGUUUGUGUGUGAAAGAUAUAUAUAUACAUUUGUUUCUCUGUUUUGUACGAAUGUGUAAAUGAACACACGAACAUAUAUAUAGGUUUGUGUGAGUGUAUAUGUGUGUGUAUAUGUAUAUAUGCAUAUAUAUAUAUAUAUAUAUAUGUAAACAGCAGUGGUGUAAUUCCCUUAUAGGACUGUCACGUUAAGUUGACAGUAUACAACCACUCUAUAUAUAUAUAUAUAUGUAUGUAUAUAUAUGGAUCAAAACAAUUUGCUUCAAAUUUGUUGGUACUCUGGAUUUUCUAGACACUUCAAACUCAAGAGUACUAAUGAAUUUGAUUUGAUCCAUAUAUAUAAUAUGCAUAUUAUAUAUAUAAAGAGAGAGAUACACAUAUACACAUGUAUAUCAGGGCAAUUCCAUAAAAACAAGAUAUCUAACAACAGUUGUCACACACACACACACAUUGUAUAAUAUAUAAAAGUUGUGUAUCUAUGUGUAUAUAUGUAUGUAUAUACACACAUAACAUAUAUGUUCUAUACACAGAAAAUUAAAGAUAAUAUGAUUGAUUUAGCAGUAGUUUGUUCAAUGUAUGAGUAAAGAUGCAAAUUUGUAUAUAUAUAUAAGUAUAUAAAUACAUAUACAAGUUACUAUGCACAUACAUGCAUACGUGUGUAUAUAUAUAUAUAUAUAAGAAAAAAAUGACAAAGGAAAAAAUGAUUACCCUAUGAACUUCAUUGGCUUACAGUCGUUUCUGCUAUAGGAUGCAAUGAACUCACAGUUGAGUGCUAGAAAUUGCACUUCACACACUUACACAUUCAAAGUUCUGAUGAGGAUAUAAGGUAUAGCUCAGGCACUCAACCAAGUGUCCACUGUAUCUCACAGCAGAAACACCUGUAGGCCAAUGAAUUGCAUAAGAUUAUUGUUUUUCUUUUUGUCAUUGCCUUUUUUUCUUAUUCUUGCUUUAUACUUGUCUAACACUUUGUUCUGAAGCACAUGCAUGCUGUGUUCUGCAAAAACAUUAUUAGCCUUGCAAUGUCUGACCAAAUUAUUAAAGCAUAUGUGUGUGUGUGUGUGUGUGUAACACAAAGGAUUUGGGAAUGUGUUUUUAAUGUGUGUGUAUAUGUGUAUAUAUAUAUAUAUAUAUAUAUAUAUAUAUAUAUAUGAGUAUGUAUGUGUGUGUGUGUGUGUGUGUGUUUAUAUAUAACACCAGGAAUGUGUGUGUGUGUAACACAAAGGAUACAGGAAUGUGUUUUUAAUGUGUGUGUGUGUAUAUAUAUAUAUAUAUAUAUAUAUAUAAAUGAGUAUGCGUGUGUUUAUAUAUAUAACACCAGGAAUGUGUGUGUGUAAAUGCAAAUAUGUAAUUACACAUUCGUUAAGUUACAAAAUAAUAAAAUGUAAACAAAAGCAUAACAAAAAAGGAAAAGAAUAAUGCAACAUGUGAAAGCAUGAACUGAAAGACUAAAGAAAAUGUACAAAAACUCAUCAGGUGAUGUUGUGGCUAGCAUCAUCUUCGGUUGAGUGAAGAGACGGAAGCUGUCAAUAUGUUUGUGUGUGUAUAUAUAUAUAUACAUAAAUAGUAUGUCUAUGUAUAUACAUGUAUACUGAUCUGUAAAUAUAUAUCAUAUAUAUAUAUAUAUAUACACACAUAUUUAUAUGCAUAUAUACACACACAUACAUACACACACACAUAUAUAUAUAUAUAUAUAUAUAUAUACUUGCACAUACAUAUUUGGGUUUACAAAUAAGGGAAAUGCAUGCAAAACUUGAAUGAGUAUUUUUUCUUUUGUUUGUACACAACCCAAACUUGUGUGUGUGUAUAUAUAUAGAUAUAUAUAUACAUUUAUAUGCAAUAGUAAAUAGACACCCUGCAUUAUGCCGUUGCAUCAGUGGCAGUCAUUAUUGCCUGGUGCUCUGAUCUCAAUCUAUUAUGCUCCAAGACAUCAUGUCCGUUAAAUAUGAGAUUAAUUACUUAACGACAUUAUUUUCUUUCUAGAAAUAAAUCUUUCAAAAAUGAUGGCAUCUAUUCACUUUUGCAACGUCUGUUUUUUAUGUAUAUAUCUAUAUAUAUAUAUAUAUAUAUAUGUGUGUG